GACAGAACAGGCGUACCACUCCAUUAACACAGGAGCCUCUAACAAAGUGGCUGAUGCACUGUCCCGGGAAGGUUUCCCAGGAUCAGCCAGGAAGAAAUCCCAGCCACUGUGGACCUGACCUGAACCAGGC